GAGUUUGAUCCUGGCUCAGGAUGAACGCUGGCGGCGUGCUUAACACAUGCAAGUCGAACGAAGCAUUUAAGACAGAUUUUUUCGGAAUGAAGUUUUUUAUGACUGAGUGGCGGACGGGUGAGUAACGCGUGGGUAACCUGCCUCACACAGGGGGAUAGCAGUUGGAAACGACUGGUAAUACCGCAUAAGCGCACAGCUUCGCAUGAAGCGGUGUGAAAAACUCCGGUGGUGUGAGAUGGACCCGCGUCUGAUUAGGUAGUUGGUGAGGUAACGGCCCACCAAGCCGACGAUCAGUAGCCGACCUGAGAGGGUGACCGGCCACAUUGGGACUGAGACACGGCCCAGACUCCUACGGGAGGCAGCAGUGGGGAAUAUUGCACAAUGGAGGAAACCCUGAUGCAGCAACGCCGCGUGAGUGAAGAAGUAUUUCGGUAUGUAAAGCUCUAUCAGCAGGAAAGAAAAUGACGGUACCUGACUAAGAAGCCCCGGCUAACUACGUGCCAGCCGCCGCGGUAAUUC
rnacentral:rRNA from 1 species